ensembl:lncRNA PGAM1P5 phosphoglycerate mutase 1 pseudogene 5
AUUUGCAUCGUAACCUCUUUGGGGGCCGGGACUGUGCACUUGCUCCCUUUCUAUACCUCUCCACAGUUCCUAGUACCGGCCAAAAACACUGCUGAAAUGCCUAAUGAAUCAACCAGAAGUUCCUUAGCAUAAUAUAGGAGCGUGGAAGUGAUGUUUAGGGGGGCUUCCCUUGCUUCCCUGAUCCCCAGAUGGAGAGAAAUGGCAAUUUGCCCUUCCAAGGAGUCAGAUGGUGAAAGGGAGAGAUGUUCUUGCUGAGUUUGUUUAUGUUGUGCUUCAGAGGAUGUAAGACAAGCAGCAAAUCAGCAGAGACAAG